AUGCAGCUGCUGCGCCAAGUACCUGAGUACUCUUCAUGCCUAUGGUCACCUCACCACUGCCGGAGCCCGUCCUCACAUGCCCGUCGACCAUCUGCAUCUCCUUCCACCUGUCGCCCAAAAGUGAAAUUGCCCUGCUGCCCCGUGCUUGUCCUCUCAUGCAUGAUUGCAUAUGCAAAUGUAGGUGAUGUGCACAUAGUUGUAUGCGUGUAUGUAGACAUGAUUGAAGUUUACGUGAUGUGUGUCUUCAAAGAAUUUGGCAGUUUUGGCACCAGGUUUGUUUGGUCGAACACAUCAUCCCAAACAUAA
rnacentral:rRNA from 1 species